rnacentral:snRNA from 1 species
AUGUUCACUUUGACAGCACAUACACUAAAAUUGGAACGAUACAGAGAAAAUUAGCAUGGCCCCUGUGCAAGGAAGACCCACAAAUUCGUGAAGCAUUUUAUUUGCUG